rnacentral:rRNA from 1 species
CCUACGGGUGGCAGCAGUGAGGAAUAUUGGUCAAUGGGCGCGAGCCUGAACCAGCCAAGUAGCGUGAAGGAUGACUGCCCUACGGGUUGUAAACUUCUUUUAUAAAGGAAUAAAGUGAGGCACGUUUGCCUCUUUGUAUGUACUUUCUGACUAAGGAUCGGCAACCUCCGUGCCCGCAGCCGCGGUAGUACUGAGGAUCCGAGUGUUAUCAGGAUUUCUUGGGUUGAAGGGGUGCGUAGAGGGGUUGUUAAGUUAGUGGUGAAAGUUUGCGGCUCACCCGUAAAAUUGCAAUUGAUACUGGCAGCCUUGAGUACAGUUGGGGUAGGCGGAAUUCGUGGUGUAGCGGUGAAAUGCUUAGAUAUCACGAAGAACUCCGAUUGCGAAGGCAGCCUACUAAACUGCCACUGACAUUGAGGCUCGAAAGUGUGGGUAUCAAACAGGAUUAGAUACCCGUGUAGUC